rnacentral:rRNA from 1 species
AUUGAACGCUGGCGGCAGGCCUAACACAUGCAAGUCGAACGAGCGGCGGACGGGUGUGUAAUGUCUGGGAGACUGCCUGAUGGAAGGGGAUAACUACUGGAAACGGUAGCUACUACCGCAUCCCACCAGAUGUGCCCAGAUGGGAUUAGCUAGUCGGUGGGGUAACGGCUCACCUUGGCGACGAUCCCGAGCUGGUCUGAGAGGAUGAGCAGCCACACUGGAACUGUGACACGGUCCAGACUCCUACGGGAGGCAGCAGUGGGGAAUAUUGCACAAUGGGCGCAAGCCUGAUGCAGCCAUGCCGCGUGUGUGAAGAAGGCGUUCGGGUUGUAAAGCACUUUCAGCGGGGAGGCGUUACCCGCAGAAGAAGCACCGGCUAACUCCGUGCCAGCAGCCGCGGUAAUUC